rnacentral:rRNA from 1 species
GACAGAGGGGGCAAGCGUUGCUCGGAAUUACUGGGCGUAAAGGGCGCGUAGGCGGGAUGGCAAGUCGGACGUGAAAUCCCACGGCUCAACCGUGGAAGUGCAUUCGAAACUGCGAGGCUGGAGUCCUGGAGAGGAAGGUGGAAUACUCGGUGUAGAGGUGAAAUUCGUAGAUAUCGAGUGGAACACCGGUGGCGAAGGCGGCCUUCUGGACAGGUACUGACGCUGAGACGCGAAAGCGUGGGGAGCAAACAGG